GCUGGGCAUGGUAGCGCAUGCCUGUAGUCCCAGUUACUUGGGAGGCUGAGGUGGGAGGAUCACUCGGACCCAGGAGUUCUGGGCUGUAAUGCAAUAUGCUGAUCAGGUGUCCGCACUAAGUUCGGCAUCAAUAUGGUGACCUCCCAGGAGCGGCGGACCACCAGGUUGCCUAAGGACCGGUGAACUGGCCCUGGUCGGAAACGGAGGAAGUCAAAACUCCUGUGCUGAUCAGUAGUGGGAUUCCGCCUGUGAAUAGCCACUGCACUCCAGCCUGGGCAACCUAGUGAGACCCCAUCUCU
rnacentral:SRP_RNA from 1 species